UCUUUUUGUAUAUAUUAAAGGUUGUACCUGCCCACUGAUGAGUGAAUUGAAGGGCCGCGGUAUUUUGACCGUGCAAAGGUAGCAUAAUCAUUAGCUUUUUAAUUGGGAGCUGGAAUGAAUGGUUUGACGAGAUAAUAACUGUCUCAUAAUUAUUAGUUGAAUUUUAUUUUUAAGUUAAAAAGCUUAAAUGAAUAUAAGGGACGAGAAGACCCUAUAGAUCUUUACAAUUUAUUAAUUUAUAUAUGAUUAGAAUAAAAAUUUAUGUAAUUUGGUGAAUUGUUUUGUUGGGGUGACAUGAGAAUAUAAAAACUUCUUUAUUUUUAUACUUUGAUUUGUGGGAAAAUGAUCCUUUAUUAUGGAAAUAAGAUUAAGAUACCUUAGGGAUAACAGCGUAAUUUUGUUGGAAAGUUCUUAUUGAUAAUGAAGAUUGCGACCUCGAUGUUGGAUUAAGAUUAAAUAAAGGUGAAGGUGCUUUAAGUUUUGGUCUGUUC
rnacentral:rRNA from 1 species